UGCCCAGCAACUCCUAUCACUACCCUCGUGGUACUGGCCGGGGUACGAGUAACCUUGGGGAAGAUCGGGUAACCAACCCCCGGUGGGAACUUUGGUCGUAUGCUGACAGGGAAGG
rnacentral:ribozyme from 1 species